GAUGAAUACAUGUAAACAACUAUUUACAUGUCCGGAUUGAUGGCUUAUUUUAAAAAAUUUUCUUACUCACUUCAUUGGUUCUAAUAAUACAAGCUCCAUAAUUUUGGAAACUGAAUGACUCUGCAAUGUAGAAAGGCUAUACCUUGGCCCGGCGCGGUGGCUCACGCCUGUAAUCCCAGCACUUUGAGAGGCCGAGGCGGGCGGAUCACAGGAUGCCCGGGCAUUUGUAGAGAACACUGCCAAAGAAAAAAAGGCUCAGGAGUCCAGCCCCAAGGGAGCUGGAACAGCCUCACAUGGUGCAGGGGCCAAGAAGUUAGCCAAGAACUACUUCAUUUCCCACCCCCCAUCAAAUGAUGCCAAGGAGACUAACUCCGAAGAGGACUGAUGUAAAAUGCUUCUGCCCAGCAUGGGUGUUCACUGCACGAGAGCACUUGGCCAAGGGGGUGAGUGGGGCUGAAAAUCCUGCUCAGGCUCCAUGCUGAGCCACAUACAAAGUCUCCCCGAGACAUUGUGGGGCCCUUCUGGACAGACAUGGAGAGCUUCUGAAAGUCCCGCAUGCUUGGAAUUAUUUUCAAGACCCCAGGUAUGUGGUCUGCAGUGGUUCUAAUCACUGUUACUAUGGACUGAGGUACUCAUUUAGUCCUAAUAAGACCAGAGAAGUACAUUGUGAGAGGCGUGGGAACGGCAGCAUCACUCACUGUCUUGUCCACGUGUCUCCCCGGAGGCAUUUUCAGAUUUCUGCCACAUAGGAGAUGCUCAUGGCGAACUGAAACUCAGGUACAUUGGAGGAUUCAUUGCUGUGGCCAGAGAAAGCAGAGGACAUGCAAAAUGCAUAUUUCCCUAUCCUCCAGGAUGGCUUUGUCUAGUUAAGACAGCCACUCUGGCUUAGGGGUAUGUACAGACCUCCCAGUGCUGCACGCGUGAAAAACAUGGCACAGAAACCUCACGGCAAGGAGUCUUCCAACAAGGAUGACAUCUUUCACAAGGACGUGGAGUAAACGACAGAGCCUUCGUGGUUCCCAUCUAAAAUGAAGAGGGAGUGAAAAGUUGAAUUGCUCCUUUCAAGAAUCAACAAGCUUGGCAUUUUAAUUCCUAUCCCAGGGGCAGUGAAGCCCCAACAGAGAAAACUCAAACCAGAAAGUCGUCUGGCUGCUGAGCGGGAGGAGUGUGAGGUCCCCUGGGAGGACCUCAGGCCUCAGGCCUCUGCAAACUUGGGAAACUGCUGCUGAGGUCCUUCCAGCUCCAUGGUCCCCAGGCUGGUGACUGAUGGGGGAAUAUGGAGUCCAGCUGACUACCAGAGCCUGCAUGUCUGCUGCUAGCCGGGAGGAAAGGAUGACUUCUACCUCCUUUCCAUAUUCCAAAUUUUACAUGACUGCAUUUUUUUGGCAGCACCCUGCUGGCAAAGGAGACUUGACGUGUGGUUCCUGGGCUUCUGUCACCUGCACAGACAGGGGUGAAAUGAGUGUCACAAGCAGCCACCACUCUGCAGCAUACCUCCACAUCUAGGCGUGGUGGGGAGCCCCACUUAUACUUGGAGGUGUCCUGGCACCCUACCCACUUUUUGGUAGGUGUUUGGGUGUCCAAGGCUUUGCAGAAGAAGCAGGCAGGGAGUCUAUGGUGGAGUAACGUGGUGGAGAGGCCUGGAGAGGUGUCAUUCUAGCUGGGCAGCGGGUGACACGCAGUCAUCCCCUCAGUGAACGCUGGACGUGCUCUGUGGCUCCCUGCAGGCCUGCGGAUCCACCAGGGGGCUCCGUUCCUUCUGGGCCAAAGCUGAAGAAGCGGCUGCUGCACCAGAGAAGUGCAUCUGGAUGAAGGUGGAAGCACACGCGGGCCCGCAGAACCGCCUAAGAUAUCUUCAGGUGUGGGCUUGGAACUGGUAGGCUUUCAUUUCUGCUUCAUUCCAUGGCCAAAGCAAGCCACAUGGGCAAGUCUGAAGCCGGGGCAAGAAAGUAUCCUCCACCCACAACGAAACCAUGGCAAGCGGUAGGUACUAAGAGGGCUGAGGAAUUGAGGCCAAUAGUUCUAUCUAUCCAAGUGAGUGAGGAGCUCUGCUUUGGGGAUUGCACAACCUGGGUCUGCUCUUGCUGUGGUGUCUGUCACUAUGAACAUGACAACAUGGAUCGCCAUCAGGUCAGGGACCCUGACAAGGCAAGAAUCAUGUCCUCCUCUGCACACAACCCCACUCCCUUCCCCACCAUGCCUAACACCAAGCCUGGCCCUCAGGGAUGACUCAGGAGAGCAUUUUAGGCCAUUCCUUCAUUAUCCCCAUGUGACUUGUUGAUAAAGAUAAGUGCCU
rnacentral:lncRNA from 10 species